rnacentral:rRNA from 1 species
UACGUAGUGUGCGAGCGUUGUCCGGAAUUAUUGGGCGUAAAGAGCUCGUAGGCGGUUUGUCACGUCUGCUGUGAAAUCCCGAGGCUCAACCUCGGGCCUGCAGUGGGUACGGGCAGACUGGAGUGCGGUAGGGGAGAAUGGAAUUCCUGGUGUAGCGGUGAAAUGCGUAGAUAUCUGGAGGAACACCGGUGGCGAAGGCGGCAUCCUGGACCGACACUGACACUGAGGAGCGAAAGCCAGGGGAGCAAACGGG